rnacentral:rRNA from 1 species
GGUUAAGCGACUAAGCGUACACGGUGGAUGCCCUGGCAGUCAGAGGCGAUGAAGGACGUGCUAAUCUGCGAUAAGCGUCGGUAAGGUGAUAUGAACCGUUAUAACCGGCGAUUUCCGAAUGGGGAAACCCAGUGUGUUUCGACACACUAUCAUUAACUGAAUCCAUAGGUUAAUGAGGCGAACCGGGGGAACUGAAACAUCUAAGUACCCCGAGGAAAAGAAAUCAACCGAGAUUCCCCCAGUAGCGGCGAGCGAACGGGGAGCAGCCCAGAGCCUGAAUCAGUGUGUGUGUUAGUGGAAGCGUCUGGAAAGGCGCGCGAUACAGGGUGACAGCCCCGUACACAAAAAUGCACAUGCUGUGAGCUCGAUGAGUAGGGCGGGACACGUGGUAUCCUGUCUGAAUAUGGGGGGACCAUCCUCCAAGGCUAAAUACUCCUGACUGACCGAUAGUGAACCAGUACCGUGAGGGAAAGGCGAAAAGAACCCCGGCGAGGGGAGUGAAAAAGAACCUGAAACCGUGUACGUACAAGCAGUGGGAGCACGCUUAGGCGUGUGACUGCGUACCUUUUGUAUAAUGGGUCAGCGACUUAUAUUCUGUAGCAAGGUUAACCGAAUAGGGGAGCCGAAGGGAAACCGAGUCUUAACUGGGCGUUAAGUUGCAGGGUAUAGACCCGAAACCCGGUGAUCUAGCCAUGGGCAGGUUGAAGGUUGGGUAACACUAACUGGAGGACCGAACCGACUAAUGUUGAAAAAUUAGCGGAUGACUUGUGGCUGGGGGUGAAAGGCCAAUCAAACCGGGAGAUAGCUGGUUCUCCCCGAAAGCUAUUUAGGUAGCGCCUCGUGAAUUCAUCUCCGGGGGUAGAGCACUGUUUCGGCAAGGGGGUCAUCCCGACUUACCAACCCGAUGCAAACUGCGAAUACCGGAGAAUGUUAUCACGGGAGACACACGGCGGGUGCUAACGUCCGUCGUGAAGAGGGAAACAACCCAGACCGCCAGCUAAGGUCCCAAAGUCAUGGUUAAGUGGGAAACGAUGUGGGAAGGCCCAGACAGCCAGGAUGUUGGCUUAGAAGCAGCCAUCAUUUAAAGAAAGCGUAAUAGCUCACUGGUCGAGUCGGCCUGCGCGGAAGAUGUAACGGGGCUAAACCAUGCACCGAAGCUGCGGCAGCGACGCUGAUGCGUUGUUGGGUAGGGGAGCGUUCUGUAAGCCUGCGAAGGUGUGCUGUGAGGCAUGCUGGAGGUAUCAGAAGUGCGAAUGCUGACAUAAGUAACGAUAAAGCGGGUGAAAAGCCCGCUCGCCGGAAGACCAAGGGUUCCUGUCCAACGUUAAUCGGGGCAGGGUGAGUCGAC